UAAAAAGUGAGUGGCACACAGAAGACAAGC
rnacentral:piRNA from 1 species